CUUACUCUUAAUGAAGUAAUGUUCCCAGCGACCAUUAAAAAAUGCAAUGCCGGGAGAUCAAAGUACAACGUUUAUUUUAGAAAUCUGUUGUCAUCACCAGGAGACACAGGUAUCAAGGCCAAAUGUCAGUUGCGUUACACAAAUCCCCGCGCCGGGAAGAGCGUGUGGCUGCUCUGCCAUAAUGUAAAAAGACAUCAAAGACCUAGCGCGCUGCGAAAGUGCGCAGCGGGGAGGGGGGGAGGGAGGGGGGAGGGAGCCCGGGAGGGCCCAGCGCGCUCCAGACCGCGCGGGGCUGCGGCGGCGGGGGUCAGUUCAAAGAGCUAUCCAUUGGGGUGCGAGUUCACAGGAAGGAAGAUUUAAUGGGCUUUCUUCUGUUGGUGGGUGUUUGUGCACAGGAGGGCCCAGGAACUCCUCCGUGGUCCCCAGGGCGGAGGUGAGGGGGAGGGAGGUCGGCGAAUAGGGCGCAAACUUUAACCCGGGCGCCGCGGGGAGGUUGUGUAGCAGCCGCUGGUGCCGAGGAGCCCCACUCCGCUGCUCUCCAAGCAGCAGGCGUCCGAGGUGGGAAGUUUGCCACGCUGUUGCUUCGCGGGCGGGCGGCGAGCGCGGACCGGAUGCCACCUGCAGGAGGCGGCAGGGUGUUGCUUAAAUGCCGAGAUCUCGCCCGCUCUCUGCUGAAGGCCCAACCUUCCAGUUUCCUGCACCUGCCUACUUACAAGCACCACUCGUUGCUUUAUUAAAGUGCUGAACCACUUGAUGUCAGAAGACAUAAAGGCACAGAGAAGCCCAAGGACUGAAAGUCAUAGAGGAGCCUGCAGAGCUCAAGAUUUCCAGAGCGGAAGAAGCAAAGUCUCAGCUGCGCUUUCAGGAAUGACUCCCAAAGCCACACUACAGACCUAGGUUGACAAGGGAAUCACUGCUCCCCCUGGGACAGUAGGCUGUGGAAUCAGAAAGCUGCUUGCCUAUUGGGAAGCCACCAUGACAUCUACCCAGCUUCAGAAUCAUGCCACUUCUUCCAUGUACCCCCCUUUUGAUAACUAUGUAUACAGUAGUCCCCCCUUAUCUGUAGGGGAAAUAUUUCAAGACCUCCAGUGGAUGCCUAAAACCACAGAUAGUGCCAAACCCAAUAAAUACUAUCUAUAAUAAUAAAAGGGUAAUAUGCUAAUUAGACUGGAUGUCUUCCAGACGUCAUUCUGGAUGUCCUUCCUGACAAAGCUGGGGCCGGAGGGAAGCCAGCCUGGGUCCCGGGUGCCAGAGGGAAGCUGGUGUCGGCAGCCGG